GACGAACGCUGGCGGCGUGCUUAACACAUGCAAGUCGAACGGUAAGGCCCUGCUUGCGUGGGGUGCUCGAGUGGCGAACGGGUGAGUAACACGAGUGUAACCUGCCCUUCUCUUUGGUAUAACUUCAGGAAACUGGGGAUAAUCCCGGAUAGGAGCUCCCGCCGCGUGGUGGGGGUUGGAAAGUUUCGGCGGUUGUGGAUGGACUCGCGGCUUAUCAGCUUGUUGGUGGGGUAGUGGCUUACCAAGGCGUUGACGGGUAGCCGGCCUGAGAGGGUGACCGGCCACACUGGGACUGAGACACGGCCCAGACUCCUACGGGAGGCAGCAGUGGGGAAUAUUGCACAAUGGGCGGAAGCCUGAUGCAGCGACGCCGCGUGCGGGAUGACGGCCUUCGGGUUGUAAACCGCUGUCGGCAGUGAAGAAGCGAAAGUGACGGUAAUGGGAAAAGAAGCACCGGCUAACUACGUG
rnacentral:rRNA from 1 species